rnacentral:rRNA from 1 species
AUGUAUCACCUAGCAGUUGUAAAAAUAGCAAAUUAUACAUAUGAAUAUAUCUGGACCGCAGGUAAAUGUUACCGACUUUUCAUAAAACAAUAUAGAGACCAUGGCUUCAUAUGUUGUCUAUUAGUUUUUUCUGUUUUCUGUGUAGUUUUUAGUUGGAUUAUAUCUCCGGUCCUGUGGACUAUUCGCAGUCAUAGGAGCCAAUUUCAUCAUCUCAAAAAAGAAAGGAGCCAAUUUCAGUGUCAAACGGAGAGGAGUCAGAAGCUGAUUUUGGUGAAUUCAUUCCAGAGGAGCCGUAUAGUGUACUGUAAACCUUUUUAA